GACGAACGCUGGCGGCGUGCUUAACACAUGCAAGUCGAACGGUAAGGCCCUUCGGGGUACACGAGUGGCGAACGGGUGAGUAACACGUGGGUGAUCUGCCCUGCACUUUGGGAUAAGCCUGGGAAACGGGGUCUAAUACCGGAUAGGACCGCGCACUGCCGGUGAGUGGCGGAAAGCUUUUGGGGGGUGGGAUGGGCCCGCGGCCUAUCGGCUUGUUGGUGGGGUAAUGGCCUACCAAGGCGACGACGGGUAGCCGGCCUGAGAGGGUGGCCGGCCAGACUGGGACUGAAAUAAGGCCCAGACUGCUACGGGAGGCAGGAGAGGGGGAGAUUGCACAAUGGGCGCAAGCCUGGUGCAGCGACGCCGCGUGGGGGAUGACGGCCUUCGGGUUGUAAACCUAUUUCAGUAGGGACGAAGCGCAGGUGACGGUACCUACAGAAGAAGCACCGGCCAACUACGUGCCAGCCGCCGCCGUAA
rnacentral:rRNA from 1 species